GGAGCCCACCGGCUGCCUCGGGGAGCACCGGACCGCGCCAGCUCGGCUGUGGUGGAACAGGAACGUCUGGCCUUGGGUGGUAGCCAUGGGAGGGGACUGUUUCAGCCUGGCCCUCGCGGCUGCACAUCGUUCAGCAUGACUGAAACUGGCCAGAAAUAAAAUGACCUUAAAGAUGGUGGUGAUGAGAAGCAGCCUUGAAUCUUCUGCCGAGCAACUUCUGUCACCUGGGGAAGGCCCACAGGAAAAUGUCAGAUGCACAGCAACGCAGUAAAAAUUCUGGGCCCUCCCCACUGAUGUUGCAAUGGAAAUGCCAUAAGGGGUCGCCCAGGGAAUAUCCUCUGUGCAGGUGCCCCUGUGCUGGUGCAGAGCCAGCACCAUCAGCUUUGUGCUGCCUCCACAGCAACCCUGGGCAAAGAGAUGUUCCAAGGCAGAAGUGAAUUAUGGACAGAUUAGAGGAAGGAAGAGGCAUGGAUGGGGCCUGCACCCCAGCAAUUCUGCAUCUUGCAGUCUAUCACCAUAGAAGAAGAGUUUGAAAAAGAACCAUGCUUUGUUCAUCAAUUGCUGGGAUCUGCUAGCAUGACUUGUAGACACACUGGAGAAAUCGCUUCCGUCACUUCAGUGCCUCUGCACUGCUUCCAACAGUGGCUUCACUGGGCCCCUUGCCAGCUAGCAUAGAAGCUUCUCUGACCUCAGUGUUUUCUCAAAUUGGAAAGAUGUUUCUGUGGCUGUCUUUGCCAGUCAUGUGCCAUCCCCUAUAGCGAACACAGAAUCCUAUUGUUCUCAGCACCCAAUUCAGUAGUAAAACACCAGGCUUGUUCCAUCCGUCAGAGUCAUAAAGCAAGCAACACGAUGACCUAGGUACGGUAUUUCCACAGGUCCCCAUUGCCAGAGCAAUCUGAGCCCCUCACAAUGAUGUAUCCUCACUGUAUCCUGGGGAGGUGGGGAAGUGCUAUGGACUCUGAUGACUGCUUACCAGCUGGAUUAUGUUCUGGACGAGGUUCUUGGUCACCGUGAACUAAAGAAUACGCGGAUGGGGCAAGAAUAUAGAUAUGGAUGAAAGACUCUCUUUAGGAUGUAACACUGUUAGUGGUGAGUGGCAUCAUUCGAGCCUAUGUCAAGGAAAACACCUGUAUCUAGAUGGAAGCAAGCAGUCAUUUAAUAAGCCUAUUUUGGGAAAAGUUCUUCCCCCUGUGCCUUAAGUGACAUGGUUAAUGCUGCUUCCUCAGAAGGUUACUCAGUCACCUUAAUAUUUCUCUUAUGUCAUCUUUUUGCUUUGUUUUUCUCCUUCCAGAUUUUGAUUAGUUUUUCCUUCAACAUGGGGAAGAUGUCUGAUUCUAGAGGACUCUCUUUAAUUUGGCAGAUAGGAGAAUAACAAGGUCCAGUAGCUGGAAGCUGAAGCUGAACAAAUUCAAACUGGAAAUGAUGCCUAUAUUUUUAAGUAAGGGUAAUUAGAUAUUGGAACAACUUACCAAGGGAUGUGAUGGAAACCCCAUCUUUUGAAGUCUUUAAAUCAAGAUUUAAGGGACAGAUUCUCAGCUGGUGUAAAUUGUCAUAGCUCUGAUGUCAGUGGAGCUAAGACAGUUUGCACCAGCUAAGAAUCUGGACCUUGACGUCUUUCUAAAAUACGUGCUCUUGGCCAACUGCAAGUUAUUUGACUCAGUGCCAGAAUUAGUGGGUGAAACUGUCCAGCCUGUGUUAUACAGGAAGUCAGAUUAGAUGAUCACAGUGGUCUCUUCUGACUUUAGAAUCUGUGGAUUGUUGCUAGGAUAAACUCUAAAAGGUGAUGCUGUACCUUGAUAGAUUGGUAUUGCCAGACAUCUUCAGAGAGGAGCUAGCAGCAGUCAUUGCUUUCAUCUUAAAUUGUCAGCACGCACCUGAAUUGUUUCUCUUAUUCCUGUAAUGCUGGUAUCUGGUUUUUCAAGGCCUGUGUUUAUUCCUAUGGAAUGUGUAUUUUGCAGACUUGGUUCAUUCUUGGAGCAUUCUUGGUAUGUAAAGCUGUACCAGUUAUUUUGUAACUUUAAUACUAAAUAAAUGUGCCUUACUGCAUUUAGCUAAUUAUUCUUGAUUUAAUGUAAAUAGCUUUGUUGCACUUGGGAAGCAACCUAAAGCUGGAAUCCUUCCAGACUUGACAGCUGGAAUAUAGCAAGCCUUCCAGUACCUUCGUGUGCCUGAUAUUAUUCCUAAGUGAAGUCCAAACAAAUAAAUUGCAACUGAAAUCAAAUGUUGGGUCAAAGUAUUUCAAACCCAGGUUGGGGAGCCCUCACGCCAAGGGCACAGCAUCAAAGACAAGCUCCUCAAUUCUGUUCUUCCUUGCUGCAGUCGUGAGAUGUGUAUGAAUAGAUUUGAGAAUGGCAGUACAGUUGGCAUCUAAAGAUGUGAGGAUGGCUAAGUAGCGCAUGCUAAAAAUGAUGCCUGCAGCUUUUAUUUGCAGGCAGCACAGUGCCAUGAAGAGCCUAGUCUGCAGUUUUGCUGAAAAACUGAAUGAGAAGCAUGGGCAUUUUAUAAAAUGUCUUUAAUGACUGAGCGUAUAAUGCAUAGUUGAUUAUUUCACGAGGCCUCACUUAGUGGCAAAAGCUGAUGAUUCACAUGAGAGUGAGGCAUAUUUGAUUAUCUUGUUUUAUGGACUUCAUGCAGCUGCAAAAUACCUGACUUUAAGAUUAGCUUUGUGGUAUUUGUGUAAAUUAUGAGCAUGUUUGGCUUCAUCUGCCAACUGUGUGGUGAUUUAAGCUCUUUGCUUUUCUGGUCAUCUUUAUACAGCUCUUUGUCAAACAUAAACAAGAACAGAAAUCACUUGCUUUUGUGUAAGAAAUGAUCAUCAAAAGAUACUGGAGUUACUUGUGCAUAAAAGCAAUGCAGACUGCCAUCCUCACUCUGGGUACCUCUAUUUGAGCUGGGAGGUAAUUCCAAGCAUGCAUAGAUAUAGUGGGGGUAGCAUAGGUGGUGCCUCAGGCUAGCCACCUCACAACAUAUCCAGGGCGUCUGGGUGGGUAUGUACUUGGGUGCCAAGCCUGAGUCAUCGCCUGUGCUACCCCAGCUACAUGUCUACAUUUUAGUGAGUUAGCAUGGGUAGGAGUACUUGUGGCACCUUAGAGACUAACAAAUUUCUUUGAGCAUAAGCUUUUGUAGGCUACAGCCGACU